rnacentral:rRNA from 1 species
UACGAAGGGGGCUAGCGUUGCUCGGAAUCACUGGGCGUAAAGCGCACGUAGGCGGCUCCUUAAGUCAGGGGUGAAAUCCUGGAGCUCAACUCCAGAACUGCCUUUGAUACUGGGGAGCUCGAGUCCGGGAGAGGUGAGUGGAACUGCGAGUGUAGAGGUGAAAUUCGUAGAUAUUCGCAAGAACACCAGUGGCGAAGGCGGCUCACUGGCCCGGUACUGACGCUGAGGUGCGAAAGCGUGGGGAGCAAACAGG